rnacentral:tRNA from 1 species
GACUUUGUAGGUUAAUUAAACUUUGUAAAUUGCAUUUACAAGAUAGAAAGUUG